rnacentral:tRNA from 1 species
GCCCCUGUUGUCUAAUGGUUAUGACGUCAGACUUCUAAUCUGGAGGUUGCGGGUUCGAGUCCCGCCAGGGGUU